rfam:Beta vulgaris subsp. vulgaris Bvchr4_un.sca029.con0011.1, whole genome shotgun sequence.
GGGUGCGACGAUACUAGCUCUAAUGCAUCGGAUCUCAUCAGAACUCUGCAGUUAAGCGUGCUUGGGUGAGAGUAGUACUAGGAUGGGUGACCUCUUGGGAAGUCCUCGAGUUGCAUCCC